UACGGCCAAAUCAGAUUUCUG
rnacentral:piRNA from 1 species